rnacentral:rRNA from 1 species
GACGAACGCUGGCGGCGUGCUUAACACAUGCAAGUCGAACGGAAAGGCCCUGCUUGCCGGGUACUCGAGUGGCGAACGGGUGAGUAACACGUGGGUGAUCUGCCCUGCACUUCGGGAUACGCCUGGGAAACUGGGUCUAAUACCGGAUAGGAGCCAUUUUUAGUGUGAUGGUUGGAAAGUUUUUUCGGUGUAGGAUGAGCUCGCGGCCUAUCAGCUUGUUGGUGGGGUAAUGGCCUACCAAGGCGGCGACGGGUAGCCGGCCUGAGAGGGUGGACGGCCACAUUGGGACUGAGAUACGGCCCAGACUCCUACGGGAGGCAGCAGUGGGGAAUAUUGCACAAUGGGCGCAAGCCUGAUGCAGCGACGCCGCGUGGGGGAUGACGGCCUUCGGGUUGUAAACUCCUUUCGCUAGGGACGAAGCUUUUUGUGACGGUACCUAGAUAAGAAGCACCGGCUAACUACGUG